UAGGGUUGCCCGGGCAUGUCCCUCGUCGGGUGCGCACGUGAGCCGCAGCGAGCGACUCCGUUUUAGUAAUGACGGUAAGCGUUCAUCUUUAGUUGUACAGGUGCUGUGUGGGAGCAGCAGGUAAAUGCGGCUGACCGGGUGGUGAUUGUGUCGCUCGUAGAAACGCGCAAACCAGUCGCACGAGGAUGGAAACGUGAUUUUACAGCUACGACUAGCACAAAAUAACAUAACUAGGUACCACGAGCUCCUCGAGCCCAUAUUUUGCACACGGACAGCCAUGAACCUAGCGCCCCUUACUCGCUCGCUUACUCUUACCAUCACGCUGAAUCGCAGCACAUCUAGCCUCUCCUGAUCGCGAGUCUCCUUUUUGCUCGGUGAUCUUAACAAGCGCCAGUGUGGCGCCAUGGCGAUAUGUUAGUGCCAGGCAGAGUGUACGCAGACGGUUUUCUUUUACAAUUGUUGUCGCAUUCAGAUUUUAUGAUAGUUGUUGUAAGAAUGUAUUCAUGUAUUUGGCAGAAGCAGCGGAAGCGGUCACGAAACG
rnacentral:lncRNA from 1 species